UAAAAGUUUUAGCAACAUUCAUACUUCUAUAAAUAUAUUAAUAAAUUAGUUUUGUAACACAAAAAGCUUGAUAAUAGAGAGAAGAAUGGAUAAAAUCUGGUUUUUAUAUAUGUCUUGUACCUUAUUGAUGACAAAAACUGACAUAGGGUUUUCUAUUGAUUUGAAUGUCAAUAAUGAACGAAUGUUAGGGUGAAAAUACAAUUAUUUUUACGUUCCACAUUGAAAUUAUCUGAAUGUGACCAUGGUCUUAACAUUUUUGCUGAUAUAUAUUUUUUUCAAUAGUUUCCUUCUUUUUUUGGAUGGAUGCAG
rnacentral:misc_RNA from 1 species